rnacentral:rRNA from 1 species
AUUUUAUUUAGUUUUUACCUUGGGGAAAAUAUUUUUAACAGAACCAUCUUUGUCCAAAUUGUGUAAGUACGAGUUAAAGAAAUUAUCAGCCAUCCCUAUAGAUUACAGUACUGUGAAGGAAUGUUGAAAAACUAUGUCAAACUUAAAAAAGAAGAUUUAUUUUAUCGUACCUUGUGUAUCAGGGUUCUGCAAAUUUCUUUUUACAUAAAUUAUUCCCGAAGUUAAGCGAGCUAUAUUUCAAGGUUUAUAAAUGUAGCAAAAUUUUUUUGAAUUGAAAUAUGGGGUGAAAUGCCAUUCGAGCUUUUUUAUCUGGUUUUCUGGGAAACGAAUUUAAUUCGAUUUAUCUGAGUUUUUAUUUUAGUAUUUAAUUUAAAAAUUUGGGCGGUUAAAGUCUUGGGGGGAUGAGCUCUCGAGGCAAAUUUAAUUGAUAUAAUAAUUAACUUGGUUUUAGAUGAUUUUAGGCUUAAAAGUGGCUUAAAAUAAUAAGUUUUUUGUAAUUUACAUCUCAGUAGUCAGUAUUUUUUAGUGUUUAUCUAUCUACCAGAAUACUUAAACUAACUUUUGAUUUAAGGUAAAGAUGCUUAAAUUAGUAGAAUUUAAUGUUGAUUUUUUAUUAGCAGGGUAAGUUAAAAUUUAAAGUAAAUUUAAGUAUUUUAAAGGAACUCGGCAAAUUGUUUUCCGCAUGUUUAUCAAAAACAUCUCCCCCUGUUUUUAUAGGGGGUAUCGCCUGCUCAAUGCAUUAGUAAAUAGCCGCAGUAUUCUGACUGUGCUAAGGUAGCAUAAUCAUUAGUCUUUUAAUUAGAGGCUGGUAUGAAUGGUGAGACGAGAAAAAAGCUGUCUCUAAAAUAUUUGUUGAAUUUCAUUUUUAAGUGAAAAAGCUUAAAUGCGUUUGGGGGACGAUCAGACCCUUUGGAGCUUUAUUUCAUUAAAGUUUUAGGUUACUUUUUAUAACAAAAAUUAUGAUGAAAUUUUGUUGGGGCGACAGAAAGUUAAAAAGUACCACUUUCUUUAAAAAACAUGUAUAGAUGGAAAAUUGAUCCCUAAGGAGGGAUUAGAAGACUAAGUUACCCUAGGGAUAACAGCGUAAUCUUUUUGGAGAGUUCUUAUCGAUAAAAAGGUUUGCGACCUCGAUGUUGGAUUAAGAAAUUAGCAAGGUGCAGAAGUUUUGUUGGAAAGUCUGUUCGACUUUUGAUUUCUUACAUGAUCUGAGUUCAGACCGGCGUAAGCCAGGUUGGUUUCUAUCCUCAAAUUUUAUGGCCUAUUUUUAGUACGAAAGGAUUAAGAUAGGGGGAAGCUCUUACAAUGAAGAAUCAAAAUAAACUUUCAAAAGUGAUGUCAGUCUGACAGAUAAUGUAAU